rnacentral:rRNA from 1 species
CGGAGGAGCUAGCGUUGUUCGGAAUUACUGGGCGUAAGCGCGCGUAGGCGGCUUGUAAGUUAGAGGUGAAGCCCGGGCUCAACUCCGGAACUGCCUUUAAGACUGCAUCGCUAGAAUCCAGGAGAGGUGAGUGGAAUUCCGAGUGUAGAGGUGAAUUCGUAGAUAUUCGGAAGAACACCAGUGGCGAAGGCGGCUCACUGGACUGGUAUUGACGCUGAGGUGCGAAAGCGUGGGAGCAAACAGGAUU